UACGAAGGGGGCUAGCGUUGCUCGGAAUCACUGGGCGUAAAGCGCACGUAGGCGGACUCUUAAGUCGGUGGUGAAAUCUCGGAGCUUAACUCCGAAACUGCAUUCGAUACUGCCGUGCUUGAGGACUGGAGAGGAGACUGGAAUUUACGGUGUAGCGGUGAAAUGCGCAGAUAUCAGGAGGAACACCGAUGGCGAAGGCGGCAUCCUGGACCGACAUUGACGCUGAUGAGCGAAAGCUAGGGGAGCAAACGGG
rnacentral:rRNA from 1 species